rnacentral:rRNA from 1 species
GGGGAAUAUUGCGCAAUGGGGGAAACCCUGACGCAGCAACGCCGCGUGAAGGAUGAAGGUCUUCGGAUCGUAAACUUUUGUCAUCUGGGAAGAAAAAAAUGACGGUACCAGAUGAGGAAGCCACGGCUAACUACGUGCCAGCAGCCGCGGUAAUACGUAGGUGGCGAGCGUUGUCCGGAAUUACUGGGUGUAAAGGGCGUGUAGGCGGGUAAGCAAGUCAGAUGUGAAAUACCGGGGCUCAACUCCGGGGCUGCAUUUGAAACUGUUUAUCUUGAGUGCAGGAGAGGGAAGCGGAAUUCCUAGUGUAGCGGUGAAAUGCGUAGAUAUUAGGAGGAACACCAGUGGCGAAGGCGGCUUCCUGGACUGUAACUGACGCUGAGGCGCGAAAGCGUGGGUAGCAAAC